GGAAUUUGACAAUUAGGAUGUAUUGCAAACUGGGUUCAUGUGUUCCAGGAUUACUUGUUGACAUUGUAGUGAUCAAAAGAGUAAUGGUUACAGUAUUAAGUGUUUGGCUUGGAUUGCAUUUAUAUAUAGGGUUAAAUAAGUGAUAUAUAUUAAUCCUUAACUAGUAAUAAUAACCCCCCUAACUCUAUAACAAAGCGACACUAGGGGUAGCAAUUGAGCCAAGCAUUUUGCUAAUGGUUUAUAUUGAAUUUAUAUAAGAAACUGAUUAAACUUUCGAAGG
rnacentral:misc_RNA from 1 species